rnacentral:rRNA from 1 species
GUCCUUGCCGUAAACGAUGUGUACUUGAUGUAGCUAGGCUCAACCCUGGCUGUGUCGGAGCUAACGCGUUAAGUACACCGGCCUGAGGAGUACGCUCGCAAGGGUGAAACUCAAAAGAAUUGACGGGGGCCCCGCACAAGCAGUGGAGCAUGUGGUUUAAUUCGAUGCAACGCGAAGAACCUUACCUGGGCUCGAAAUGCAGAGGGCGACUACAGAGAAUGUAGUUUUCCGUAAGGACUUCUGUAUAGGUGCUGCAUGGCUGUCGU